rnacentral:rRNA from 1 species
GACGAACGCUGGCGGCGUGCUUAACACAUGCAAGCCGAACGAUGAACCCGGAGCUUGCUCCGGUGGAUUAGUGGCGAACGGGUGAGUAACACGUGAGUAACCUGCCCUUGAAUCUGGGAUAACUGCGGGAAACUGUAGCUAAUACCGGAUACGACCCUCGGCGGCAUCGCCAGGGGGUGGAAAGCAUUUCGGUCAAGGAUGGACUCGCGGCCUAUCAGCUAGUUGGUGAGGUAACGGCUCACCAAGGCGACGACGGUUGGCCGGCCGGAGAGGGUGACCGGCCACACCGGGACGAAGACACGGCCCAGACUCCGACGGGAGGCAGCAGUGUGGAAUAUUGAACAAUGGGCGCAAGCCUGAUGCAGCAACGACGCGUGAGGGAUGACGGCCUUCGAGUUGUAAACCUCUUUUAGUAAGGAAGAAGCGAAAGUGACGGUACCGGCAGAAAAAGCGCCGGCUAACUACGUGCCAGCAGCUGCAGUAA